CAGGACGAACGCUGGCGGCGUGCCUAACACAUGCAAGUCGAGCGAUGAAAUCCUUCGGGAUGGAUUAGCGGCGGACGGGUGAGUAACACGUGGGUAACCUGCCUUGUAGAGGGGGAUAGCCUUCCGAAAGGAAGAUUAAUACCGCAUAAUAUCUUUUUAUCGCAUGGUAGAAAGAUCAAAGGAGUAAUCCGCUACAAGAUGGACCCGCGGCGCAUUAGCUAGUUGGUGAGGUAACGGCUCACCAAGGCGACGAUGCGUAGCCGACCUGAGAGGGUGAUCGGCCACAUUGGAACUGAGACACGGUCCAGACUCCUACGGGAGGCAGCAGUGGGGAAUAUUGCGCAAUGGGGGAAACCCUGACGCAGCAACGCCGCGUGAAUGAAGAAGGCCUUAGGGUUGUAAAGUUCUGUUUACGGGGACGAUAAUGACGGUACCCGUGGAGGAAGCCACGGCUAACUACGUGCCAGCAGCAGC
rnacentral:rRNA from 1 species